rnacentral:lncRNA from 1 species
ACUGGGAUCCCACAGAUGCAGAUCCCACCAAGCAGGAGUUGGAGGUGUGUUACGAAUCGCUGAAGCACCGCAGGCACCCUGAGGCAGAGCUUUAUGACCUUGAUACAAUGCCCAUUCCUGAGGAUUACGAUGUUCCUCCUGCGACGGCUGGACCAUCCAACAGGUAUUAUUUCUUUUUAGAAUAGAACACCAAAGUGAUACCCACUGCCACCUCAACAGUGGCCCUAGAGAUGUUGUUGUGCUGCGCUGGUGAAGGACGAUCAUGUUAAAGCCCCGGCACCUUCCAUGCGUGCUGUUUUCCAUUCUUAUGAGUGAAACAGAUACCAGCAAGUCCCAAAUGGGCAGCCAUGAACUGCCUGGCACCUUCAAGGCAUGCUGCUGUGGGUGCCUCUAUAUAGAGCAGUUAUCAGCCAUUCCCAAGUGGCCAGCUAUGAGUAGGCUCCUUAGCUAAGAGCAUACAGAGUUGGUCAUUGGUUGGGGAUCCUGUAUGUGAAUCUAAACAGCUGAGGUGCAGCAUUCGCGUGGUGCCACACUUUACUCCAUGACAUCGGUCUAAACCCACUGUUUAUAAGUUUGCAAGGUGCCCUGCCUGCAGCUGGCAAGGAAUAUCGUGUGGGUCUUGGUCUUGAAGCCUGAAGCGCUGCACGUUCAAACAUACAAGUUUGGCCCAGUAUAGGAAUUGCAGCUUUUUGAAUGGCUAUAUAAGUGCUAAUGCGCAGCAGAGGAGCGUUGCGCCCGACCCCUUAUUUGUUUGUUCUUGUCAAGCUCUUAGGUUCGCUGAGAAUCAGUAUCCAGGUCUCUUUCUAUUUUUUGCAGGCACGAUGGUUCAAGACCUCAGAGAGAUCGUCAAGAGAGCUGGGCACAGAACUAGGUCUGAAGAAAGGCUCUGUCAAAAGCGAUCGAGAUGAUCUGAAGGCUUGGACCGCCCACGACAUAAAACUGGAGCGUGCCAGACAGGCGAAGGUGGCCCCUUAGACGCAUAUUUUUUCCCUUUUUUUUUCUUUUUUUUCUAGUCAGUGUUGUUGCAGAGUUGUUCAUCGACUUCAGCAGAAUACGCUAUACUUGUCCAUUAACAACGGUGAUGUGCAGAUGAACCGCAAGAUCAAGAAGUAUAAUGAAGAGAAAGAAAAGUACUAUGCUGAAAAUCCACGCUCAAAUCUAGGUAUGUUGCUUGCAGUUGGCAGGA